rnacentral:misc_RNA from 1 species
UUUCCGUAGGUGAACCUGCGGAAGGAUCAUUCAUAAUAAGUGUUUUAUGGCACUUUUUUAAAUCCAUAUCCACCUUGUGUGCAAUGUCAGGGUUGAUUUUUCUCUCGAGAGGAUCAACCCCAAACAUCAACUAUAUCUCAACUCUUUGUCUGAAAAAUAUUAUGAAUAAAACAAUUCAAAAUACAGCUUUCAACAACGGAUCUCUUGGCUCUC